UGUUUACAUACCGGUGUACAUAACUUUAAUAAAUAUAUUUAUGUUCUAAUUCAUAUCUUCAACAUGUUCAAGCGAACAUAAAUUAUUUACAAAAUAAACUCAACACCUUUGUAUGGGAUCAGCUCGCCUGACAGUGUGCAGCAAAGCUUCGAAAAAUAAAGAAAGGGUAAAGAAAAAAUAAAAGAAAAAAUACAUAAUUAAAUCCCAAUAUUAUUUGUUACAGACAGUCUAUCCUUCAAAGACUCUUUAACAUAACCGUCUUUUGCCGUGUCACUUUUCCACCGACCAUGCUUUUUGAACAAUCUGUCC
rnacentral:lncRNA from 1 species